rnacentral:rRNA from 1 species
CCUACGGGUGGCAGCAGUGAGGAAUAUUGGUCAAUGGUCGUGAGCCUGAACCAGCCAAGUAGCGUGAAGGAUGACGGCCCUACGGGUUGUAAACUUCUUUUAUACGGGAAUAAAGUGAGGCACGUGUGCCGUUUUGUAUGUACUUUAUGAAUAAGGAUCGGCUAACUCCGUGCCAGCAGCCGCGGUAAUACGGAGGAUCCGAGCGUUAUCCGGAUUUAUUGGGUUUAAAGGGAGCGUAGGCGGGUUGUUAAGUCUGGUGUGAAAGUCCGCGGCUCAACCGUGAAACUGCAGUUGAUACUGGCAGUCUUGAGUGCGAGUGAGGUAGGCGGAAUGCGUGGUGUAGCGGUGAAAUGCUUAGAUAUCACGAAGAACUCCGAUUGCGAAGGCAGCAUACGGAACCGCCACUGACGCUGAUGCUCGAAAGUGUGGGUAUCGAACAGGAUUAGAUACCCUUGUAGUC